GUCGGGAAUAUUGCACAAUGGGCGAAAGCCUGAUGCAGCAACGCCGCGUGCGCGAUGAAGGCCUUCGGGUCGUAAAGCGCUUUUCGGAGGGAUGAGGAAGGACAGUACCUCCGGAAUAAGUCACGGCUAACUACGUGCCAGCAGCCGCGGUAAAACGUAGGUGGCAAGCGUUAUCCGGAUUUACUGGGCGUAAAGCGCGUUCAGGCGGUUUGGCAAGUCGGGCAUGAAAUCUCCAGGCUCAACCUGGAGGGGCUGUCCGAUACUGCUAGACUUGAGGGCAGUAGAGGAGAGUGGAAUUCCGCAUGUAGUGGUGAAAUGCGUAGAGAUGCGGAGGAACACCAGUGGCGAAAGCGGCUCUCUGGGCUGCUCCUGACGCUAAAGCGCGAAAGCUAGGGUAGCGAACGGGAUUAGAAACCCCGGUAGUCC
rnacentral:rRNA from 1 species